rnacentral:rRNA from 1 species
UGCUUGCACUGAUGACGACCGGCGCACGGGUGCGGAACGCGUAUCGAACCUGCCCCCUUCAGGGGAAUAGCCCAGAGAAAUUUGGAUUAAUGCCCCAUGGCACCACGGAGUUGCAUGACUUUGUGGUUAAAGAUUUAUCGGAAGGGGAUGGCGAUGCGUAUCAUUAGCUUGUUGGUAAGGUAACGGCUUACCAAGGCAACGAUGAUUAGGGGCCCUGAGAGGGGGAUCCCCCACACUGGUACUGAGACACGGACCAGACUCCUACGGGAGGCAGCAGUGAGGAAUAUUGGACAAUGGCCGGAAGGUUGAUCCAGCCAUGCCGCGUGCAGGAUGACUGCCCUAUGGGUUGUAAACUGCUUUUAUACGGGAAGAAACCUCCCCACGUGUGGGGAGCUGACGGUACCGUAAGAAUAAGGACCGGCUAACUCCGUGCCAGCAGCCGCGGUAAUACGGAGGGUCCGAGCGUUAUCCGGAAUCAUUGGGUUUAAAGGGUCCGUAGGCGGGCCUGUAAGUCAGGGGUGAAAGGCCACGGCUCAACCGUGGGACUGCCCUUGAUACUGCAGGUCUUGAGUCGUUGUGGAGUUGCCGGAACAUGUGGUGUAGCGGUGAAAUGCAUAGAUAUCACAUAGAACACCGAUCGCGAAGGCAGGUAACUAACAACGUACUGACGCUGAUGGACGAAAGCGUGGGGAGCGAACGGGAUUAGAUACCCCGGUAGUCCACGCCGUAAACGAUGGACACUAGCUGUCGGGACUUCGGUCUCGGCGGCCAAGCGAAAGUGAUAAGUGUCCCACCUGGGGAGUACGUUCGCAAGAAUGAAACUCAAAGGAAUUGACGGGGGCCCGCACAAGCGGUGGAGCAUGUGGUUUAAUUCGAUGAUACGCGAGGAACCUUACCAGGGCUUAAAUGCAGCUGCAUGGGGCAGAGA